CUUAAAAAGUUUAUACCCCAGUACGGAGGAUUAUUUAUAAGUCAUGUUCAAUUUAAAGCAAAAAGGAAGGUUUUUUUCUACUCCAUCAUUGACACAGACAAUGCACGAUCUUCUAUAGUAUAGUUUGGAUUUUUUCCAAUCAGCAUUUGUUGUAAGCAAUGGAACAAAGCCCUAUGGCCUACGUCCGACCAACGUUGCUCCUUUCUGCUUUUGUUGUGAUGUUCUCGGCAGCACAACCCAUCUACCAUACUCAGAACGAGUGUUACAGUAAGGAUUUUGAAAAUGUUUACCAGAUACUCAAAGAAUUCAGGGAGGACAUCGAUGGACUGAAACAGUCAAUUAAACAGAUGCAGAACAGAAAACAAGGAUUGGUGAUUGUGGAAAUGAGACCGAUGAUCCUCUAUGCAAAAUUCGACGACACUAUUACGUUUCUGUGUUCAAUACAUCACAGAGGAUACGAAUGGUUCGCCGUCAACAUCUUCCAGCAAAAUACAUCUGGUUCCGUUUCAGUUUUAAAUGUAUCCAGAGAUGGAAAAGUGGAAUCCAAGAACGCUAGAAUCAGUGGAUCAAUGACUGUAAGCGAUGACAUCAUCAACGUGACUGUCUCCUUUGAUGUAAGCCGUGGUACCGGGGUUUGUGAACUGAACAAAACCUAUUCUUGUAACAUUCAACUUGUGGACCCGUCCAUCAGCUCUAAGGUUGCAAACACUACGUUGGUAUUGGAGAGUAAGUGCACAUCAAUUAUAAGUUUUAUUAUUAUGUAUGGUGCGUUAAUCAUAGAGAGUAAGAACACGCUGCGUAUUUGCUUAUUUGUGUUGAAUAUCAUGUAUAACAAUUUUGUUAAAUAGCUAUAAUAAGAUAUAAAGCUCUAACUAAAAUAUAGUUUGUUGAAUUUGUAAGAAAAAAUUUUUUCGCAUCAUAUACAACAGUUAGUUGUGAUAAACAAUCUAAAAAAAAUUUUCAGCGCCACCUCUAAACUUAACUGUAGAGACGAUGCCUGAUGGAUACGAAUAUAAUAGCAACAUUGGUGAGACAAUCAACUGUACUGCAACCGUGAACCCUAACACCACUGUAUUGUCCUUGAUUGGAAAAAGGUUUCAUUCACUAAAUGAAUAUGUUUUCGCUGAAAGAAAUAUUGUACAAACCUUCGUGGAUUCAGAGAGCAUAAUCGACUGCUAUCCGACUGUACGAACUGUUUUUAGCGAACUUGUUGAUUUUCUCGUAGAUUAUAGUUGGGUAGGUUGCCUAGCAAAUGAUACGGUAUCUGGUCAAAGUUCGAUAACAGAAUUUAAAUUCGUUAAUUCGAUAGUUAUAUCUAGGUAAGACAUGUGACUCGUACUUCUAUGUUUAGCCUGACGUCAUAUUGUUUUGAUAGAGAGGAUUAUUGAGCUUUUAUACUUUUUUCUCGUUUUAAUAGUUCUAAUCUACAUCGUUUUUCAUAAAAAAAACCCAUGUAAAAACAGGUCUUGAUAUCAAUUUCAAAGAAUGUCAUGCUAUAGAAUAACUUCUUUGUUUGUUUUUUGUUGUUGAAAAGAGGGCAGUUUUUCAGGGAGAGUGAAAAUAAAUAUGAAACUAAGCAGUAAAGAGUCGAUUUGACGCGCAAUGUUCAUAAAUUAUCUCCAAUGCAUUUAUAUUAACAAUAAGCGAAAACAAGUAGUUACUGAAAGAGUGAACCUUACUUUUAGUUAAAAAUUUGUGAUGUCUGUUAACUUAUUAAUAAUAAGAUUGUUGAAGUAAUUUGUAAACAAUUAUGCUAAGGUUAGAACAGUAUACAUUUUUUUAAAAAUGUAUCAAUAUGAUCUUUGCAGCAUCUUAUGAUGUGCGAAUUCACUCAUAAGAAAAAAAAGCUUUGUUUUGCAAUUUAUUUUAUUUGCAUUGCCGAACUAAUGUUGCAUUAUUAGUAUUUUGAAUGUAUAUGUAAAAUUCAAAGAUUAUCUUCCUUAGUAGAAAUAAUUGUAACUGCUUUUUUAUGAGACUUAUAAAUAUGUCCUUUUGGUAACUUACAGCUAUUGCAUUCUUUGGUCAUUUACUCAUUUGGUGUAUCAUUUUGUCGGUCAAUGUCUUUUUACUUAUAUUAAUAAAUUAAUCAGAAAAACG
rnacentral:misc_RNA from 1 species